rnacentral:rRNA from 1 species
GAUGAACGCUGGCGGCGUGCCUAAUACAUGCAAGUCGAGCGAACAGACGAGGAGCUUGCUCCUCUGACGUUAGCGGCGGACGGGUGAGUAACACGUGGAUAACCUACCUAUAAGAUUGGGAUAACUUCGGGAAACCGGAGCUAAUACCGGAUAAUAUAUUGAACCGCAUGGUUCAAUAGUGAAAGACGGUUUUGCUGUCACUUAUAGAUGGAUCCGCGCCGCAUUAGCUAGUUGGUAAGGUAACGGCUUACCAAGGCAACGAUGCGUAGCCGACCUGAGAGGGUGAUCGGCCACACUGGAACUGAGACACGGUCCAGACUCCUACGGGAGGCAGCAGUAGGGAAUCUUCCGCAAUGGGCGAAAGCCUGACGGAGCAACGCCGCGUGAGUGAUGAAGGUCUACGGAUCGUAAAACUCUGUUAUUAGGGAAGAACAAAUGUGUAAGUAACUAUGCACGUCUUGACGGUACCUAAUCAGAAAGCCACGGCUAACUACGUG